UACGGGGGGGGUAAGCGUUGUUCGGAAUUACUGGGCGUAAAGGGCUCGUAGGCGGCCAACUAAGUCGGACGUGAAAUCCCUCAGCUUAACUGGGGAACUGCGUCCGAUACUGGAUGGCUUGGAUUCGGGAGAGGAAUGCGGAAUUCCAGGUGUAGCGGUGAAAUGCGUAGAUAUCUGGAGGAACACCGGUGGCGAAGGCGGCAUUCUGGACCGACAUUGACGCUGAGGAGCGAAAGCCAGGGGAGCAAACGGG
rnacentral:rRNA from 1 species